rnacentral:misc_RNA from 1 species
GGUAGUAUUAUGAUGGAUUAAAGCUAAAUAAGGAAUUCAUACCUAAUGGAUCACUCAAAAUGGGUUGCUGAUAAUAUGAUGAUUGCUCUGAUGACUCUGAUGAGGAGACAUUUGAAUACAUAGAAGGAUAAUUAUAUGGAUAUAGAUUUGGAGAGAAAUUUGCUCUGAUAACUCACCUUUUUUAGUAUUUUUCUAAGAAUUAGCUUUAGAAAAUAGAGUAAUCUAGUAAUUCUAUCCAAGAUUCUUAAAAUACAAUGAAUGGAGAGAUGUUGUAUGAAGAAAAGAGGAAACUUUAAGUGAAAAUUUGAGAGAAAUUGAA